AAGAACAGGAGAGAGCAGGACCUCUGCUCCCUGCACUGCUGUGUCCCCAACUAGAAUCAUAGCAGACGUUCACAAUUUAUUUGAAAACAAUGUGGUGGUAACCUUGAAAACCAACAUCCACAACCAUGCCGAAAACCAGCAAACUGGCAGCCACUGGAAGGAGACAGAGCAGUCAGGGCUGGAGCUCCUUCAAAGCCCCAUUCCCAGAGAACUGUCAUUAUCUGACCUGCCUGGUGGUUUCCUAGAAGACCCUACUUACCAGACACACUGCACCCCCGCAAACCUCCGGACACAUCUUCCCACCUCCACGUCCUCGUGAGUCGUGUACAUUUCCCGGAGACACUUUCCAAUGUGCGGCACCAUUCUCCG